rnacentral:tRNA from 1 species
GUCAAGGUGGCAGAGCCCGGUAAUUGCAAAAGGCCUAAGCCCUUUCCACAGGGGUUCAAAUCCUCUCCUUAACU